GACGAACGCUGGCGGCGUGCCUAAUACAUGCAAGUUGAGCGCUGAAGGUUGGUACUUGUACCAACUGGAUGAGCAGCGGACGGGUGGGUAACGCGUGGGGAAUCUGCCUUUGAGCGGGGGACAACAUUUGGAAACGAAUGCUAAUACCGCAUAAAAACUUUAAACACAAGUUUUAAGUUUGAAAGAUGCAAUUGCAUCACUCAAAGAUGAUCCCGCGUUGUAUUAGCUAGUUGGUGAGGUAAAGGCUCACCAAGGCGAUGAUACAUAGCCGACCUGAGAGGGUGAUCGGCCACAUUGGGACUGAGACACGGCCCAAACUCCUACGGGAGGCAGCAGUAGGGAAUCUUCGGCAAUGGACGAAAGUCUGACCGAGCAACGCCGCGUGAGUGAAGAAGGUUUUCGGAUCGUAAAACUCUGUUGGUAGAGAAGAACGUUGGUGAGAGUGGAAAGCUCAUCAAGUGACGGUAACUACCCAGAAAGGGACGGCUAACUACGUG
rnacentral:rRNA from 1 species